rnacentral:lncRNA from 1 species
UCCAUGAAGAGAGCAAAGCAUGGCUUUGGUUGUCAAGGCUGGUUUCCCACCUCAACAGAGCAUCUACCUCCCGGUUACCUGCAGCAUACGGUAAUGAAAUGACCAUUAAUGCAAAGAGCAUGACAACAACCCCAAGCUUCUUCAUGUGAAACAUUGAAAUAAAGAAACACCAAUUAGUAAUAUUGUUUAUGGUGAACUAGUUAAUAAUCGCUCAAAUUAAAAG